GAGAAAAUUCCCAGAAUGCCCUGCGAAUCAUCAGCAAGAUGGUUGCACAAGCGACCAAAGAGACACAUAAAUGUGGUACGACUUACACCCUUUGCGGUUUCUUGCUCCUCAUAGGAUGCACUCCACUCAACGCUCGAGUUUAACAGAGAACUUGUAGAGAGGAGAAUUACCAUUAAAACUGCAGUUACUACGACAGAACACACUUGUGGGUGGAGCCUGGGAGAGGCCAGGCUGAUGAUGAUGGAAUGAGGCUCCCUCUCGGAGUACUGCACCUUCCGGACAGACAGGAGGGAGAGAGAAAGCACAGAGAGAAUAAACAGGUUCUCAGA